GACUUAGUACUUUAAUCUAAAAGAUCUGAUUUGCAUUCAGAAAAUAAGUUUAUAAAACUUCUAGGUCA
rnacentral:tRNA from 1 species